UAUCAAGCAAUGAUUAGGAUGAGUAGAUAUAUAAUAUGUAUUUUAGAGAGGAAGUGUCUGGUGAAAACUUCUUACUAUGUAUUUCGAAGCUACCUAGGAGCUAUAAUUAACUAAGAGAUGUAUAUUUAAUACAUAAUUAGGGUGGUACCGCGGAAUUUCAGCUUUCGUCCCUUUG
rnacentral:ncRNA from 1 species